UUUGAAUAGAAACUGCUGAAAAAUAACCUCAACCAAGAGGGCAGGUUAAAUGCUGCCUUCACACGAAACUUUGAGGUUAAUUGUAUUUUAAAACGUGACAAGUCAAACAAACAACAUCCUCAGCAAGCCGUGAGAAGACUUUGCAAAAUGACGGACCACAGAAAGGUCACAGCCUGUCAACCAUUUCAAAAUAAGUGUAUGAUCUUCUCAGGACUUUCUGUAGUAAAGUAUGUUUGUGCCCUAUCUUAUGUUCUCUUUCUUGCUCUGAAGGUAACGAGACAUCACCCACAACAACCACAAGGACAAACCCAACAACCCCGACAGCAGCAACAACAACCCCGACAGCAGCAACAACCGCAGCACUUCCUCCAACAGAAGCAGAAGUAACAACUGUACCAUCAACUCCACCUCUGACUGAUAAAGAUAAGACUACAACAGAGAAACACAGACACAACAAGAAGA